AGGGAUACAUGCGGUUGCCGCCUCCGAUGAUCGGAGUUUGGGAAACGUCGUCAGAACUGCGUUUAGCGUUCUCACCACUUCCACGUUUAUCAUCGCAGUCGUCCAUAACUCCCUCUCCAUCGCAGCUGCAGUGGAAGGUGAGUCAACACUAACAGUGUCUUUGAUUUCAAAACCAAAACGGAAAGAUCUCGAUUUGCAAGCUUACCGGUUAAAGAUUUGAUGAUUUCACAGGAGACAUACUCUUGAAGUGUAUGAUUAGAGAAGAGAGAUCUGAUCAUUAGAGCUGCUUGAGUAGAAACUUGUGGAUUAGAUGAUCUAAGCAUCUCUUGAACCAAACCCACACCACCAGCUUCUGCC
rnacentral:lncRNA from 1 species